UACAGAGGUCUCAAGCGUUGUUCGGAUUCAUUGGGCGUAAAGGGUGCGUAGGCGGUGGGGUAAGUCAGGUGUGAAAUCUCGGAGCUCAACUCCGAAACUGCACUUGAUACUGCCCUGCUAGAGUACUGGAGAGGAGAUUGGAAUUUACGGUGUAGCAGUGAAAUGCGUAGAUAUCGUAAGGAAGACCAGUGGCGAAGGCGAAUCUCUGGACAGUUACUGACGCUGAGGCACGAAGGCCAGGGGAGCAAACGGG
rnacentral:rRNA from 1 species